UACCAGCACCCCGAGUGGUCGGUACGAUUAUUGGGCCUAAAGCAUCCGUAGCCGGUCCUGCAAGUCUUCCGUUAAAUCCAGCUGCUCAACAGAUGGGCUGCGGAGGAUACUACAGGGCUAGGAGGCGGGAGAGGCAAGCGGUACUUUAUGGGUAGGGGUAAAAUCCGUUGAUCCAUAGAAGACCACCAGUGGCGAAGGCGGCUUGCCAGAACGCGCUCGACGGUGAGGGAUGAAAGCUGGGGGAGCAAACCGG
rnacentral:rRNA from 1 species